rnacentral:rRNA from 1 species
AUGUGCAUAUACGCUGACGACGUUAUCCUUUUUUUGAAGGCAAAAAGUGAGGAAGUUGUUGCAACUAAACUGCUGCUGAAUAUUUUCAGUUGUUCAUCAGGACUUCGAUGCAAUCCUAGCAAGAGCUCGUUGUCCUCUAUAUUCUGUGAGGAAGACCAGAUUGAAGCCUUCGGUAACAUCCUUAAUUGGAAGGUUGAAAAGUUGCCUAUUAGCUAUCUGGGGCUGCCCUUGAGUCUCAAGAAACUCUGCAAAGAAGAUUUCCAGUGUCUCAUUGACAAGCUUAGGAGCAGGUUGGGUCCUUGGCGCAUUGGCUUUCUCCAGCUGAGUGGUCGUUUGAUACUUGUUCAGGCAGUUCUAUCAGCAAUUUCAAUAUUCCACUUAAUGUCCCUAGACCCCCCGCCGUGGGUGUUUAAGGCGAUUGAUAAAAUAUGCAGAGCCUUCUUAUGGAGAGGAACUGAUGCUGUUAAUGGAGGACAAUGUUUGGUCAGUUGGAAGCAAAUCCGCCGUCCUAAGGAAAUCGUGGGUUUAGGUGUGUUGGACCUUGAGAUUAUGAAUUUGGCUCUUCGGCUGCGUUGGGCAUGGAAGGCAAGAUCCGCGGAGAGUCGUGCUUGGAACAUCUUGUUGGAUCCCUUGGAAAAGCCAGAGAGGCAACUUUUCAAUGCGGCAGCGUGGGUUCAGUUAGGGGAUGGGUCUAGAUGUUUCUUCUGGACCGAUAGAUGGGUUCACGGAGCGGUCAUGGAGGAGCUCGCACCUGACGUGUUUCAGGCAAUUCCGACGGUUGUUAGAACUAGAAGAACAGUGGCCGAAGCCAUGAUUAAUGGAGCAUGGAUUACAGAUAUUAAGGGACAAAUUACCAUUAGCACAUUCCACCAGUUUUUGGCUUUGUGGGAGAUCAUUUCAGAAGUUCACUUGGUGCAAGGAAUGGAGGAUAAGUGGACUUGGACUUGGGAUUCCAAGGGUGAGUUCACGACGAAAUCAGUCUACAUGGCUUACUUGAGCACCUCGACUGUUUAUAGCACGACCUGCACAAUUUGGAAAUCUUGGGCGCAUGCAAGCUUUUCCUCUGGUUGGUCGUCAAAGGUCGUGUAUGGACGGCUGAUCGCCUGGCUAAGCGUGGACUUCCACACCAUGACCUUUGCUGCUUCUGUAAUGCGGUUCAGGAAACUGCACACCAUUUGUUCUGGUGCUGCAGUGUAA